GUUGAUAAGGUUAAGUGAAUAAGGGCGCACGGUGGAUGCCUUGGCACUAGGAGCCGAUGAAGGACGGGACUAACACCGAUAUGCUUUGGGGAGCUGUACGUAAGCUAUGAUCCAGAGAUUUCCGAAUGGGGGAACCCAACAUCUUUAAUAGGAUGUUACGAUUGUGUGAAUACAUAGCACAUUCGAGGUAGACGCAGAGAACUGAAACAUCUAAGUACCUGCAGGAAGAGAAAGAAAAUUCGAUUCCCUGAGUAGCGGCGAGCGAAACGGGAAAAGCCCAAACCAGCAAGCUUGCUUGUUGGGGUUGUAGGACUCCAAUAUGGUAGUUCUUUCAGAUAGUCGAAUGACUUGGAAAAGUCAGUCAAAGAGGGUAAAAACCCCGUAGACGAAAUGUGGAAGACACCUAGGAGGAUCCUGAGUACGGCGGAACACGAGAAAUUCCGUCGGAAUCCGGGAGGACCAUCUCCCAAGGCUAAAUACUCCCUAGUGACCGAUAGUGAACCAGUACCGUGAGGGAAAGGUGAAAAGCACCCCGGAAGGGGAGUGAAAUAGAACCUGAAACCGUGUGCCUACAACAAGUCAAAGCCCGUUAAUGGGUGAUGGCGUGCCUUUUGUAGAAUGAACCGGCGAGUUACGAUUGCAUGCGAGGUUAAGUUGAAGAGACGGAGCCGCAGCGAAAGCGAGUCUGAAUAGGGCGUUUGAGUAUGUAGUCGUAGACCCGAAACCAUGUGAUCUACCCAUGUCCAGGUUGAAGGUGCGGUAAAACGCACUGGAGGACCGAACCCACGUACGUUGAAAAGUGCGGGGAUGAGGUGUGGGUAGCGGAGAAAUUCCAAACGAACUUGGAGAUAGCUGGUUCUCUCCGAAAUAGCUUUAGGGCUAGCCUCGGAAUUGAGAAUGAUGGAGGUAGAGCACUGUUUGGACUAGGGGCCCAUCUCGGGUUACCGAAUUCAGAUAAACUCCGAAUGCCAUUCAUUCAUAUCCGGGAGUCAGACUGUGAGUGAUAAGAUCCAUAGUCGAAAGGGAAACAGCCCAGACCACCAGCUAAGGUCCCAAAAUAUAUGUUAAGUGGAAAAGGAUGUGGGGUUGCACAGACAACUAGGAUGUUGGCUUAGAAGCAGCCACCAUUUAAAGAGUGCGUAAUAGCUCACUAGUCGAGUGACCCUGCGCCGAAAAUGUACCGGGGCUAAACAUAUUACCGAAGCUGUGGAGUACACCUUUAGGUGUAUUGGUAGGAGAGCGUUCUAAGGGCGUUGAAGGCAGAUCGUGAGGACUGCUGGAGCGCUUAGAAGUGAGA
rnacentral:rRNA from 1 species